rnacentral:rRNA from 1 species
GAUGAACGCUAGCUACAGGCUUAACACAUGCAAGUCGAGGGGAAACGGCAUCGAAAGCUUGCUUUUGAUGGGCGUCGACCGGCGCACGGGUGAGUAACGCGUAUCCAACCUGCCCAUCACUUGGGAAUAACCUUGCGAAAGUAAGACUAAUGCCUAAUGACAUCCCACGAAGGCAUCCGAAUGGGAUUAAAGAUUUAUCGGUGAUGGAUGGGGAUGCGUCUGAUUAGCUUGUUGGCGGGGUGACGGCCCACCAAGGCAACGAUCAGUAGGGGUUCUGAGAGGAAGGUCCCCCACAUUGGAACUGAGACACGGUCCAAACUCCUACGGGAGGCAGCAGUGAGGAAGAUUGGUCAAUGGGCGAGAGCCUGAACCAGCCAAGUAGCGUGCAGGAUGACGGCCCUAUGGGUUGUAAACUGCUUUUAUAAGGGAAUAAAGUGGGUCACGUGUGACUUUUUGCAUGUACCUUAUGAAUAAGGACCGGCUAAUUCCGUG